rnacentral:rRNA from 1 species
ACACGACUACAUUAGAUACCCGGGUAGUCCCAGCUGUAAACUAUGUGCGUUAGGUGUGUCAGUGACCACGUGUCACUGAGGUGCCGAAGGGAAACCGUGAAACGCACCGCCGUGGGAGUACGGUCGCAAGGCUGAAACUUAAAGGAAUUGGCGGGGGAGCACCACAACGGGUGGAGCUUGCGGUUUAAUUGGAUUCAACGCCGGAAAUCUUACCGGGACCGACAGCAACAUGAAGGCCAGGCUGAAGACUUUGCCGGAUUAGCUG